rnacentral:lncRNA from 1 species
UCGACUAAAGAUUAAUGGUGAGAGGGGUCUCUAUCUCCUUCUUCAGUGCUUUUUUUCCCCCAUUUCUUCAUUGUCUCGCAUUUGGCUCUUAGGUUUCUUCCGAAUAUAGGAUUUCCUUUUUUUUCUAGAGUAGACUCUUGUUUUUAGGUUGGUUUUGAGUUUAUUCCGGAGUUGUUUGAGGUGGGUUUUGGAAGAUGAUGAGAUUGUGAGCGAAGAUUGAGAGAGGGUUGUGAUUGUGGAG